CUCGGGAGGCAGCAGUGGGGAAUUUUCCGCAAUGGGCGAAAGCCUGACGGAGCAAUACCGCGGUGAGGGAAGACGGCCUAUGGGUUGUAAACCUCUUUUUUCAGGGAGGAAUAAUUGACGUGUACCUGAAGAAUAAGCAUCGGCUAACUCCGUGCCAGCAGCCGCGGUAAGACGGAGGAUGCAAGUGUUAUCCGGAAUCACUGGGCGUAAAGCGUCUGUAGGUUGUUGAACAAGUCAACCGUUAAAUCUUGAGGCUCAACUUCAAAAUCGCAGUCGAAAUUGUUUGACUAGAGUAUAGUAGGGGUAAAGGGAAUUUCCAGUGGAGCGGUGAAAUGCGUAGAUAUUGGAAAGAACACCGAUGGCGAAGGCACUUUACUGGGCUAUUACUGACACUCAGAGACGAAAGCUAGGGUAGCAAAUGGGAUUAGAUACCCCAGUAGUCCUAGCCGUAAACAAUGGAUACUAGAUGUUGAACAGAUCGACCUGUGCAGUAUCAAAGCUAACGCGUUAAGUAUCCCGCCUGGGAAGUAUGCUCGCAAGAGUGAAACUCAAAGGAAUUGACGG
rnacentral:rRNA from 1 species